AUUCUUUUUUCUAAUAAAAAUCUGUUCUUAUCAGUUUAAUAUCUGAUACGUCCCCCAUCGGGGGACUACAUAUUAAAUGGAUCCGCUCCACGCAUCGACCCGGUAUUGCAGUACCUCCGGGAACGGUGCAACACUU
rnacentral:snRNA from 1 species